GUCAGUGAUAGGGCUCGUAGCAGCUGGUUUAGCCGGUGGUUCGUUCGUUAAGUCUGUCUUCGCCGAAGCUCUUUCGAUUAAAGUGGGCCCUCCUCCACCUCUUUCCGGUGGUCUCCGUAAGUAAAACUGAUCCAAUUAAAUUUCACAUUAUGGACUAAUCUGUAUUUCCUUAUCUUCUUUGUUUGGUUUAAUCAAAUAAUUAAUUGCUCGUGUUCAAUCCUACCGUUCGGUGCUACAUUAGUUUAGGUUAUUGGUUAAGACGAAAUAAAACCAUUCUAACCAAAUAAAAGUCCGGUUCAGUCGCGGUCUUGUUUGAAUCGAUUUGGUUUUUUCGAUCCGAAUAACCUUAAACGUAGAUCUACUUGGUUUGAAUUCGAUUUUGCUGCUUCGGUAUUGGUUUUUCAGAUCAUCCUUAAAUUAAAUCGGUGUUUUCCUUUUUUAAAUCUUUUUUUAGAUUUUUUCCAGACAUCUCACAAACCGGUCUUAAUUAGAUUUUUAAACCGAGAUCGGUUAUGAUUGAUUGAUUUUGACUUUGAUUUGUGUGUAUGUGUGAGCAGCUGGAACAGAUAACUCAGACCAAGCAAGAGACUUUUCAUUGGCAUUGAAAGACAGAUUUUACUUGCAGCCAUUGUCACCAACAGAAGCUGCAGCGAGGGCCAAAGAAUCUGCUAAAGAGAUCAUUAACGUUAAGUCAUUAAUCGACAAAAAAGCUUGGCCUUACGUUCAGAACGAUCUCCGUUUAAGAGCAUCUUACCUCCGUUACGAUCUUAACACCGUUAUCUCUGCUAAGCCUAAGGAAGAGAAACAGAGUCUCAAAGAACUCACCGGCAAGCUCUUCCAAACCAUCGACAACGUAAGUUUUCUUGUUUUUAGGGUUUUGUUUUCUACCACUUUAAUCGACAGCCAUUUUAUGCACAAGAUUCUUUCUAAUGUUUGGAUCGAUCUGAGAUUGUUGUUCUUUUCUUGUGUGGAAGCUGGACUAUGCGGCGAGGUCAAAGAGCAGCCCGGAUGCUGAGAAGUAUUACUCAGAGACUGUCUCGAGUUUGAACAAUGUUCUUGCCAAGAUCGGUUAAAGAAGGAAAGAUUUGUUCUGUAAUGUAUUGUUGUUGAAGCUAUCAUUAUCAUUAUCCAAGUACUCUG
rnacentral:lncRNA from 1 species